rnacentral:ncRNA from 1 species
GGAAGAGUAAUCGACCGUGGGAAGGAAGCGUGAAUCGUAAAUCAUGAGCCGAGGAACACGAACCGCAUAGAAGGCGCUGCCUAGCAGGGCGAACGGGCCAUAAACCGCGAAGCUCUUGUGGUCAAGGCAAAGUGGCGUAGAUGCGGCGGUUGUGUGAUGAAGGAGUGCGGC